rnacentral:rRNA from 1 species
UACAGAGGGUGCGAGCGUUAAUCGGAAUUACUGGGCGUAAAGCGUGCGCAGGCGGCUUUGCAAGACAGAUGUGAAAUCCCCGGGCUCAACCUGGGAACUGCAUUUGUGACUGCAUGGCUAGAGUGCGGCAGAGGGGGAUGGAAUUCCGCGUGUAGCAGUGAAAUGCGUAGAUAUGCGGAGGAACACCGAUGGCGAAGGCAAUCCCCUGGGCCUGCACUGACGCUCAUGCACGAAAGCGUGGGGAGCAAACAGG